GGGAAAUACAUGGUGGUGCAUAGCAGCCUCCCACAAGCAGCAGUGAGGCAAUGAACUGGGGAUCCCACUAACAACAUUAUCCAGUACAUGGAUCUUGUGAACAGGAAUCCAUGGAUCAAAGGAAGUAAAAGUGAAUACAGUGAGGCCCCUACUAUAAAGUGCUGAAUUGGUGCUGAAGAUCAGAUCAUCGACCUUAAGGGAAAUUAUCCUGCAGCUCAGGUAGAAAUCGGCAGGUAUGACUGUGGGCAUCACUCAUCAGUAAAAGCGCUGAUCACACCAAAACAGAGCGAAAAGCUGCAGCCCACUCUCAGCUCAGAAAGUGAGGAUUGACAAUGUUAUUGGUAUUGAUUGCGGUGACAGUGUAUGAGACAAUGCACUAUAAUAGUGAGAAUGAUUGGGGAAUCAGCCUGCCUCCCUCAGGAUCUGUUCAGGAGGAAGAGGAACCUCCAGCACCCACUGCCCCUAUGUGACCUGCACUCACAGUGAAAGUUCAGGAGACACCAGAGCUAGAGGGACCGGAUGUGUAAUGGUAUUUGACCCCUUUUGACAUGGCUGAAUUGAGUGCUAUAGCUGCAAAUAUAUCAAACUGUGGGCUGGGAGAUGUGGAAAAAUAUUCAUAAUUUUGAAGUUUUUUAGGUAGUUGAUCUUAUAAUGUGAUGAAAUGGAACUUGUAGAAUCCCAGAAUGCUUUGCUGUAAGCUAAAUUUUUAUGUAAGAGGAGGCAUGUAAUGUCUUGGUUAUUGUUCAUUGUGGAAAUAAAGGGAAGUUGAUGUACUGUG